rnacentral:rRNA from 1 species
AUUGAACGCUGGCGGCAGGCUUAACACAUGCAAGUCGAGCGGAGAUGAGGUGCUUGCACCUUAUCUUAGCGGCGGACGGGUGAGUAAUGCUUAGGAAUCUGCCUAUUAGUGGGGGACAACAUUCCGAAAGGAAUGCUAAUACCGCAUACGGCCUACGGGAGAAAGCAGGGGAACUUCGGACCUCGCGCUAAUAGAUGAGCUUAAGUCGGAUUAGCUAGUUGGUGGGGUAAAGGCCUACCAAGGCGACGAUCUGUAGCGGGUCUGAGAGGAUGAUGCGCCACACUGGGACUGAGACACGGCCCAGACUCCUACGGGAGGCAGCAGUGGGGAAUAUUGGACAAUGGGGGGAACCCUGAUCCAGCCAUGCCGCGUGUGUGAAGAAGGCCUUAUGGUUGUAAAGCACUUUAAGCGAGGAGGAGGCUACUGAGACUAAUACUCUUGGAUAGUGGACGUUACUCGCAGAAUAAGCACCGGCUAACUCUGUGCCAGCCGCCGCAGUAAAAC